AUUUUUUUCUAGUGGCUGCCUCCAUUGGAUUGUUGGGUGAGCCUUGCUCCUUGAAAAAAGUUUUGAGUUGUGCUCUGGAACAGGAUGUACAGCUGGAUCUAGAACAGUUGCCAAAGAGGUGUCCAUGGGCAAACGGUGCUGGAUUUCCCAGGUAAUGGUGAUGCUGAGAAGCAUGCCUCAUGAUGACUUACACAUCCCUCAUGCUUCAUAUUAAUUCUUCCUUUGGGUCAAAAGUAGACUGAAAUUCUUGAAACCUUGCCUGGGAAUCCUGCUGUUGCUAAAAUGGUUCAGCCGUGGUGCCUGUGGUCAGAAUACCUUGUGGCAGACCCUGGCACUGGCUGUGAAUGAAAGAACUGACGACAAAUUGCUCAAUAUCGAAAGCGAGCCAAUGCAUAUUUACAAGCCUUGGGUGAGCCAGAUGGAAUCUAAGAGCGGGAGGCCGGGUAGGAAAGCUGUUACUAUGAUGUUUCUUAGAAGACUUGCACGGCUGUUUUGCAUUGCUCUGUUAAUUGUUCCAAGGCACCCUUGGCUUCACUGCGUGCAAUUCAUACCAUGUUUUUUCAUCACUUCAGAUGCUGGCUGAAAUAUGUAUAUACAUGUGU
rnacentral:lncRNA from 7 species